CUCAGCUUCCCAGCAGAGGGCUCUUCUGCAGAAAGUGAUCCCAGGAUAGGGGGCUGCCAUGGGAGUCAGGGAUUUGCACCCCAAAUUUCAGGUGGUAUCUGAGCUCUGUGUGUCCUUCCUACCCACCUCUCAGGGAAUGGGGUCCUGCUGGCCUAAUGCUCACAGUCAUCUCAGAAGCUGCUGCUGGAGUCUGUGAUUUCACCCGGCUCCCGGGGGGAUGCUGCAUCAAUCACCUCUGUGAGGUCCAGCAAACUGUCCUAAGCAUGGAAGGAGAUGAUGCACAUGAAGGCUCUGCACAUAAACUCUACCGCACCAUGUAAAGCCACUGUACUAGGAUGAAGAGCUAAUAUUUACAAGAUGGAAUUUAAAAGAGAAAUGCAAGACUUUGCACUUGGAUGGAACAAAAAAAAAAAGGUUGAGGUCUUAGAUGAAAGGAAUGCAGUGGGACGUGGCCAGCACAAAGGUAGAUUUGAUGUCUGGCUGCAUUAGCAGAGGCAGAAAGCCUCUGGACUCAUCCAAGCCUGCUCUCACACCCUCAUGCCUGUCUCCAGAAGCAGCCCCUUCAGCUCUGAGACUGCCUUUUGCACACUGAGCUAAGACCAGCCUCUCGUGACAUCCCCAUAGUCUCCCUUGAGGCACAAAGGGAGCUGCCCCAUGGCCUUGAGAUUGCCCUAUUCAACUGAGAGGAGAGUGGCUCUGCUUCUUCUCUGCUCUGGGUCUGACACCACCUGGGCAGGGCCUACAGCUCUGAAGCCAUGCCUAAGAAAGGGGAACAAAGGUCCACAGAAGAGCCAGUUGGGAAGUCGUGGAUUCCUCCACUGGUGGGGCUGACCAGCAGCCUGGGACACCCCUCAUGUUAGGGCUGUGAGAGUCUACAAAUUUCUAAAUUGAUCUGAGAAUCUGAGGUUCUGAGGCCUGAAACCACUUGGAGGUGAGAAACUCAGCAAGCCAGGAGCCAUGCUUUUUGUCCAUCAGCUGUUUAUUUUGUGUGGCUUUAUUGCUGAGUGUGGAUCAAUAGACUUAAAAAAGGAAGAAAGAGAGAGAGAGAAAAAAAGAAAGAAAGAAAGAGAGAAAGAGAAAAAAAGAAACUUUCAGUGGGAGGCAGGGCUCCGCUGUCCAAGGUCACUUCGGUUUAUUUUUGUCACUGGGACAACUGGGAGAUUGGGAGCAAGGGCAGUGCCUGGAAUUUACUCCUGGUUUCCUCCUCCCUACCAUGUCCUUGCAUUGUCAGCCCUGGGUCCUAAACCCAACCCAGCCUGGGUAAGAACAAGAGUGCAGGCUGUAGAAGUGGGCAGACCUGGGCCAAAGUUCCUGCAUUGCCAUCUACCAUCUGUGCGGCCUUCGGCAAACUGCUUCGCACUUCUGAAUCUUUUUCUCUGAUUUGUUAAACAUGAGCAAAAACAUCUGCCUCCAAGGCUGCUGUGGGGAUUAGAAGGAAGAUGUGUCACAUCAGGGCCCUGGUGCAUAAUAGGUGCUCAGUAAAUGUGAGCUCCUUUCUCCUUGCUCCUUGCUCUUUCUUUUCUUCCUUUCUUUUUUUUUUUUUUUUUUUUGAGACAGAGCCUCGCUCUGUCACCCAGGCUGGAGUGCAGUGGCUCGAUCUCGGCUCACUGAAACCUCCGCCUCCCGGGUUCAAGCAUUUCUCCCUCCUCAGUCUCCUGAGUAACUAGGACUGCAGGCGCCUGCCAUCAUACCUGGCUAAUUUUUCUAUUUUUGUAAAGACGGUUUUUCACCAUGUUGGCCAGGCUGGUCUUGAACUCCUGACCUCAGGUGAUCUGCCCACCUCAGCCUCCCAAAGUGCUGGGAUUACAGGUGUGAGCCACCAUGCCCAACCUUCUCCUUGCUCUUUCCUCUUUUUGGGAGACAGUGAUGCAGUGAGAAGUCCUGGACUGGGCGGGGGUCAGGACACCUGGGGCUGCUGGGAAGAUUUUGCUCCCUGGCUUUGUGACCUAACGCAAGUCCCUGCCCCUCUCUGAUGCUUGUUUCAUUAGCUGAGAAAUAAGGCAGGGGUACCAGAUAGUCUCUCUAGGUGCCCUUCCCUUUCACAAGCCCUACAUAGGGUACUGUCUGGCUGGGUUUUACUUACCUGAACAUGGUUGGUAAAUGAUCUGGCCUGGAAGGCAGGACCCCUACCCCUGACACACUGGGUGACCUAAAACAUAUCCCCUUCUCCUCUAGACCUUGGUUUUCCCAUCAGUGUACUGGAUUGGAUGCUGUGGGCUCUGUAGCCCCUUUGGUUCUGAUUAUCCAGAAUCUAGUGCUUCUCAUGGGGUCAGGUAGGCCUAGUCAGGCCCCUGUUUCUGGACUCCCAUCCAUCCAUGCACCUACAGCACAAUCACAGGUUCUACAUUCUCCAGGGCGGAAUCCACUCUGUCUCCAACCUCAUGGUCUUUCCUUCCACAUCUUAUCCGAGACUGUGAUUCCAUCCCCCACUCAGCCUCGGAGUGUCUCUAAGCCUUUCUUUCCUGAAAUCGUGGGGUUUCCUCUGACAGGGAAUCACCUUGACCCCUUCUGACUCAUUUCACAAGAACAGAAAGAGUGCUUGCCUGAAGCAAGGUCCCCACAUAAUGGCCCACAUCUAAACGUGCACCGCCUGCCUUCCCACCACCACAGAGGCUUCCCUUUCCUUGAAGUUCUGUGGAAAUGCAUGGAGCAGGUUGAGCUGGAGGGCCAGAGGACUUCCGUGCAGUGCACAUACAUGGAGAGGUCUCCAGGGCACUUAAGAUUAAGAUAGUCCUGCGCUUGGGCGUCCUGAGCUCGAGCCCAGGAGAUAAGGCCCUCCUGGGUUGGUCUGCUCCUGGACAGCUGGCAGAUGGCAGGUUCACAGCAUCACACCCAUUACGUGGGCUGCAAAGGUCACCUAGGGUGGUGCAUGACAUCAUACCCACUGGCAGUGAGGCCUGUGAGCAGCGUCACUGUGGGGCUGUGCCCAGAUACUGCCCUCUAGCCGGAAGAGGGCUUCCAGGGUGGAAAGGCCCAGUUCACCCUGCCAGACCUGGCAGGGGCCCGCCCCAUCCUGGAUCUGAUUCUCCUAGAGAGGCAGCCAGGGGUGGAACUCAGAGUUCUCCUCCCCACUGGGACUGCUGUUGGCUGCCCUGCCCACCAGGAAGCAGUGGGAGGAGGCUAGGGAGGUCUUGCCAAGGAGUAUCCCUAGAGGAUAGGGGUCUCCUCUGGGCACCACUAGUUUGGACCCUGUUUAUAAUGGACUAGGUCACCACAUCAUGCAUGGUGGUCAGCAUACUCCCCAGCUUGAAUGCACUUAGGGAAAGGGACUGGGUCAUCCUGAGCCCCAGGGCCCAUUUAGGGCUUGGCACAAAAUAGAUGCAUAAAAGCUACUCCCAUCUAUGCCCUGUUUUGAGUCUUCCCAGCACGGACCCAUAAAGGCCCUAGCAAGGGACCUCCUUCCAACAGAAACAAAGAGGCCUUAGAGUGGGUAGACCUUAGUUCUGAAGGAUGGAAUGCUAAUAUUAGCCUAGGGGCAGCUCCUGAGGGGGAGUAGGGCCUAUGGAGUGGGAUGGAAAUAGCCCAUGGCAUCCCAACAAUCCCUGAUUCUUUUGCUUGUUUUAUGGUCCCAUCCCACUCUCUGCAUGGAUCCUGGGCCCCAGGCCACCUAGACAGGCUUCCUGUGAACGGCUGGGUUUCUAGGUGUUCCAUUUCAGUGCGAGGCCUCUCACUAUUUCCUACUGCUGGGGGUGCUUUCUUCAUCCCCUUCUCCCCGGAAACCCUCCUGACUCCAAAGUCCACUGACUGUGGGACACAAAAGUGACCUUUCCUCUCCAAGUUCUCCAAUAAUCCCAGUUUUUUCUACUUAUCAGCCCACCUAGCCCCAGAGUUAUUGGUGCUGUUCAUCUUAUCUGUCUCAGGAGGUUGCUCUGACAGAAAGCAAAUACCAGCCUUGGCAGCCUCAGUUUCUCCACCUGUAAAAUGGAGAUAGUGAUUCCUACCCUUCCAGGUGGAUGUAAGGAUUAAAUAAAAUGAGUCAGCUCAGAACCCAGCACAAAGUCAUCUCAGUUGUCCACACAGAUGGCAGGUAGUAAGGCACAGCCAACCUGCACCAAGAUGCAGGAGCCUCAGCGCUGGGGUUCUCAGCCCUGUAGAAAAGCUCCAUUAAGCAGCUGAGCAACUCACCUCACCACCCAGGCACAGGGAAGAGUAGCCUGGGAAUGUGGGAGACCCAGAGGAGGAGGCAGGCACAUUAUAAGGUGUCCAGAUAGGGGCGGAUUGAAGACCACUGACCUCCACUGGGGAUCUGUUAUGUGCUGCACCACCUGCUAAGUGCAUCACAGGCUAUCACAGGCACUCACCCCCAGUUCUCAGGAUCCUAGAGAAGUUACAGUCGAGACUGGCUCUUUCCACUGCCCCUGUACUAUAGCAGUGAUGCCAGGGUACCUAGAGGCAGAUGAGUGUUCAUUUAUAGAUAUAACAUCCCAGGUGUGGUGCUCUUUCAUGCAGUAAAAGUGAAUCUACACUGUAAAGUGAUAGGGAGAAAGUGACUUUAAAAAGAGACUUUAUUUUGAAUUUAUUUUUAUUUAUUUAUUUAUUUAUUUAUUUAUUUAUUUAUUUAUUUAUUUAUUUGAGACGGAGUCUUGCUCUAUCGCCCAGGAUGGAGUGCAGUGGCAUGAUCUCAGCUCACUGUAACUUCCACCUCCCAGGUUCACGUGAUUCUCUUGCCUCAGCCUCCGGAGUAGCUAGGAUUACAGGUGCCUGCCACCAUGCCCAGCUAAUUUUUGUAUUUUUCAUAGAAACGGGGUUUCACCAUGUUGGCCAGGCUGGUCUUGAACUCCUGACCUCAAGUGAUCCACCCGUCUCAGCCACCCAAAGUGCUGGGAUUACAGGCGUGAGCCACCACACCCGGCCUGAAAUAAUUUUAGAUUAGAAAAGUUGCAAAGGCUAGGGGCCUUCUCUGGAGACCUUCAGUCUUGGGCCCUGUUUCUCAUAGACUAGAUGGCCACAUUGUGCAUGGCAGUCAGCAUACUCCCCAGCCCGAGUGCUCCCAGGGAAAGGGGACUGAGUCAUCUUAUACAAUUAUACCUCUCACCCAGUUAACCUCUUAAAUUACUAUGCUACGUUUGUUACAACUAAGAAACAGUAGUACAUUAGUAUUAACUAAACUCCACACUUUAAUUGGAUUUCACCCAUUUUGUCCUCUUUCUGUUCCAAGAUCCAAUUCAGGGUACCACAUUGCAUUUAGUCAUCAUGUCUCCUCACUGUGGUCUGUGACAGAAGAGACUGACUUUUUAACUGAUGGCUUCCUAUGGGAAAUAGAAGAGAAGGCUUUUUUUAGUGGCUUCCUUCACUAUCACUUUCACAAUUUCACCUCACAAAAUUCCCAUCAGACAUGUGCUUUCUCCGGAAGCAGCUCAGCCCUGUUCUCCUUCCAUCUUGAUGCCCCACCCAGUCGUCAGGCCCUGGACACCCUUUAGGGACUCUCUGCUAUCUCCUCUCUCUCCCUCGCUCCCUUUUCUUACUGGAGGAUUUUAAUUCUGCCCUGUUACUCUGUAUGAACCAUUUAUUUAACACAGUCUUUAAGUAUAUCAGUGGCUAUUAUUCUAAGAAUUAUAGAACACCUGAAAUUUUAGUUUUAGUCCCACUCUCUUCCUGAGGCAGAAACUUUAUGCUCUCAUGUGAGAGAAUGGGGUAAAUCCUCAAUUCAGUAUUUCCCCCACAUUCAUCCUCCUUCUGUCUUCCCUGCAGUUCUCACAUUUCUUUUGGGAUCACUCCGGUUCCAGGGAAGCCAACUCCAGCGGGGAAAACAUGACCUAGGCUUGAACAAUCCGUGCAUCCAUCCUUCAGCCACAGUGAUUGGGUCAGGCAUGGCGUGUGACCCAAGAUGAUCCGAUCAGAGUAAGUCUCAGGACUUUCGCAGGCACUCUGGUUCAGUUGCUCUUUUCUCAGCUUCCUGGAGGCACUCCAGUAGAGAUGGGAGGGCAGUGGCCAUUGUGUUACUGCAAGUGGUUGUUGAGGAAUUUUUACUUGAGGCAGACACAUGGAACAAUUCUGCCUUUUUUUUUUUUUUUUUUUUUUUUUGACAGGGUCUUGCUCUGUUGCCCAGACUGGAGUACAGUGGCACUAUCAUAGCUCACUGCAGCCUCAACCUCCUGGGCUCAAGUGAUCCUCCCACUUCCGCCUUCCAAGUAGCUGGGACUACAGGUGCAUGCCACUACACCUGGCUAAUUUUUUAUUUUUUAUUUUUGUAGAGAUGGGGGCCUCACUAUGUUGCUGAGGCUGGUCUCAAACUUCUGGGCUCAAGCAGUCCUCCCACCUCGGCCUCCCAAAGUGUUGGGAUUACAGGUGUGAGCCACCAUGCCUGCCUGCUUUUUUGCUUUUAUUUUUUCUUGACACUUUCCUCUUUUUUUAAAACGUCAUAGAUAGAGGUUUUUCUUUUAAAUAACUUCAAUUAUUUAAUUGAAGUUCAAUUAUUGGUCUUGUUCAAUUAUUACAACUCAGAUCAGUCUAGUUUAAAACUUCAAUCUCCUAUCCAAUUAAUGGCAAUCCUCCUACCCCAGCCAGGCUAGAAUUGUGCUUGAAGGGCUUGCUGUGGAAUGGGGAAUGGCAUGCCAGUUACACACUCUGCUCUCUUUUCUGGCCACUAGCACCUGGGGGUGGAGAAGCAGUCUGGUGAGAUCUCCUGCUGGCCUGACUACACUCUGCAGGGGAAAGGGCUUCUUGGCCUUACUCUGGUUCUGUCUGCCCUUAGCAGCGUCUGUGAUGUGCUGGGCUCCACAGAGGUGAUAUGUAUGGUUCCUGGGGGAUUCAAUCCUACCUUGGCCCCCUCAUUGCCCAGGACUCCCACAGAUACGGGCAGCCUGGCCUUCUUUUACCCUGCCAUCUGUCUGUCCCCUAGCCCCUCCUUCAGGUCCAGGGGCCCACUGCUUGGCCCAGUGGCUGCCGGCUGGCUCUCUGGUUCCUGCCCCUCCUCUAACCCCCAUGCUCUUUCCCAUGGAGCCAUGGGAAGUAUGAAGAACUGAGAGGGGUGCCUCUAUUUUCCUCCCAAACCCACCAUACCCUGGUCCUGACAAGCUCUGCUGACCCAGGUGCCUCCAUGGGCCUGCUACCUUCGGAACUCUCUGGUCCAUUAUCUAUAUUCACAAAUGACCCCAGCCUCACAGGAACACAGGCCAGGUCCUCCCUGCCCACAGCCCUGCUUCCUCGCCACACUUUAUUUCCACAGCAGCACAGGAUGAGCCUGCAGGGUUCGAGCUCAGUGAGCGUGCCCGGAGAAGCUCCUCCCCUUCUUGCAGGCACCCCGCAGUCUCUUCAAGCAUCCUCUUGGUUGCUUCCUCACCCCCACAUUUAGCUUUGACAGGGAAGACAAACAUGGAGAUUUGGAACCACUGCUGGUUGAAAUGUAGAAGCAUCAGCAUCCAAAGGGGCUAGUGGGACUCGUGGAAUUUUCCAUCUGGACCCCUCUCUCACUUCCCCUGCCUUCAGAGACAAGUCCCGUCCCCAUAUCUUUGAUCCUCCCAGCAGUAGGUUGGCCCCUGCCUGCCUCAGCUCUGAGAUCCCCAUCUCCUGUAAAGGGAAAACAAUGAUGCAUUUACUGAGCUUCUUCAGAGGGCAUCUGCCACAGGGUGGCCUUCCUGGUCACGAUGAAAAUGUGUGCCAGAAAGUUUCAAACUCCUGAGUCAUUGGCGUCCCUUAGUUUGUCCUUCAAUCUGACCACAUGUUCAGGGUCCUGUGAGGUGCCAGCAGGUGCCAAUCCUCUUGGUGACCAGACUUUCCCUGUGGAAGGGAGUAUCCCCAGGGCUUUAGCCCCUGGCUUCAGGCUUGCUCCGAGAACCUUCUGUGAGUGCUGACCUCCUGCCUGCCCCACCCCCGUCCUGCAGGGUCUCAGAUUCAGGAGGCUGAGCGGUGUGUCUGCAUUCCCUCCAACUCCCCAGUCAGCACUGGCUCCUCCAGCCAUAACUCCGUGGUUCGCUCAUAUUCUCUGAGGACUGCCCAGCUCAGCCCCACCUUCCUCCUUUCAAAUCACCUUACCUAAUGGGGAGAAUGUCAGGGGUAAUAUCAUUCAGGAUUCCGACGAAAACAGAUGAAAAUGGAAGGUAGUUUUAUUUAUGAAGGGACUAUUUACUAAGUGUAGGGGAACAGCAGAGCUGUCAUCACCUUUAGGCCUGAAUGGCCAAAAAGACAGAGCAGUUACUGGAAUCUGGAAUGAGAAAGAGUCACAGAGAGUCUGCCACUUUGAGAGGGGCAGUUGAGUCUAGUUGAGGGACAGGGCCAGCCCAAGGGAGUGUCACAAGAAAAAAAGCAGUAGUAAGUGAGAGGCCAAGGCGGGCAGAUCACCUGAGGUCAGGAGUUCGAGACCAGCCUGGCCAACAUGAUGAAACCCCGUCUCUACUAAAAAUACAAAAAUUAGCCGACGUGGUGGCAGGCACCUGUAAUCCCAGCUACUUGGGAGGCUGAGGCAGGAGAAUCACUUGAACCCAGGAGGCAGAGGUCACAGUGAGCCAAGACCAUGUCAUUGCACUCCAGCCUAGGCAACAAGAGCAAAACUCCAUUUCAAAAAAAAAAAAAAUAGCGGGAAUAAAUACCCUGACCUCCCUCUCCUCCCUUCCUCUCAUCUCCAGCUGGGCCUCUCCAUUGGCCAAACCCAACCUGAAGCCAGAAGCACAGAUUGUUGUUAAUUAAGGCUGUAGUGGUUAUCUUCCUGUAAAGAGCAGGGUGGGAAAGGGUAGGGAAUGGAAGAUAUCCAGCAUAGGAAAUCCAGUUUCCAGGGAAUUCUGCUUUUUUUCAGUGAGGUUUCCCUAUAAAUUACAUCCACGGAUAUCUCUUCUAGCAGGACCAGAUUUUCCAUGCUGUGGUCAAGCACAUCUUAUGGCUUAUAGCACACAUCUCUUCAAUCUUAGUGCAUAUUGGGCGCGCUUUUCUCCUUCCUGUCGUCCUGUGAAUCUUGGCCUCCCCUUCUCACUGCAUAUUCCUUAAGUGGCACGGGUCAUUCUUGUGCAGGAAUUGAGGGAUUGAUCUGUGGCUCUGAAUCCGUGUUUGAUUCUUGCUGUCAGAACCUAAAAUCUCUUAAUUUUUCCCACUUCUCUCCCUCUCUCCUACCACCAUCCUGUAAUAUUACAGCAGGAAGCUUUAAUCACAAUUCAGCAUCCUCUUUUUAUCCCUGUGGCUGCAUUCCUGCAAACGUCUCUCUGUUUUGGUAGCAUGUGGCCUUGACCUAGGGUUUCAGUGCUUGUCUGGUAGCCAGCCCUGCAGCAGCAGGUCCAGCUCCAGGAAAUCCUGUCUCCAUAGCUAAGGCCAAAAGGAGAGGGAGUGGGGACCCAAAUCAGCCCAGGGUAUCUGCCUCAGUCCACCUCACCCCUUCCUGGAGACACUGGUUUCUUAAUAAAUCACGUGUCCUUCAAGGCUGGAUUAAAUAUCAGUUUCCAGCCUGGGUCACAUAAGGAAGUUUGGGGUUUUUUUGACAUCAGUCCCUGAGCUCACUGCACAGGGUACAUGGCCUCAUUUUUCACUGACUGCUGUCUUGCCACUCUCAUUUCUGCUAUCAGCACCUUGAUUUCCUUUGAGAGACUUUCCCAUCUCUACUCUCAGUUCAAGGAAUUCCUAUGUGGCGGACCCCACAUUCCCAACUCCAGAGUUGGGGAAAUAAUCCAGUUAGCUACAUGAGACUGGUACUUUCCCCAGAACUACUGGGAAGGUCAACAUUUUCUAGCAGGGCUGAUGAUGUCAAGAUGCAACUCUUGGAAGUCACUUUUCUACUACAUGGGGAGAGUAACUUGAGAGGGAAGCCAACACAGAGGAAGAAAGAGUGGUGAGAUGGAGAUAGAUUCCUGGUGACUUGACUUGUGUGCCUGGAUCUAGCCAUUCCUGAAGCUAGCCAUACUCCUGGUUUUCAUAUUUAUGUGAGCCAAUAAUUCCAAACUCCCCUUUUAUGGUUGGGCUUUAUUUUAUUUCCUUAACACACUAGAGAUGAAUUUCCAUGAUUUGCAGCCCAAAGAAUCCUGAUUAAUAUACCUUCUGAAAAAUUCAUUCUUAGGUCAGAAUGCUGACCUCAAAGAUAUAACUUCCCCCUGGCUUUGGGGAAACAUUCCAACACCAUCUCUGUUUCAGCUGGAUCGCCUGCCCUGGUAAUUUGGCAGUGAUGGAGAGGGAGGCUCACCUUUGGUUCUUUACAUAGGGUAAUGAUUAAUACCCAGUUUCAGCUGAGAAUUGAAUGGCCCAUCAAAAAACCUGGGCAGGAGCUGGGCACGGUGGGUCACACCUAUAAUCCCAUAAUCCCAGCACUUUGGGAGACUGAGGCAGGUGGAUCAUUUGAGGUCAGGAGUUCGAGACCAGCCUGGCCAACAUGGUGAAACCCCGUCCCUACUAAAAAUACAAAAAAUAGCUGGGCAUGGUGGCACACGCCUGUAAUCCCAGAUACUUGGGAGGCUGAAGCACCAGGAUGGCUAGAACCCCAGAGGCAGAGGUUGCAGUGAGCCAAGAUUGCACCAUUGCACUCCAGCCUGGGUGACAGAGUGAGACUCUGUCUCAAAAAAAAAAACAAAAAAAAACAAAAAACCCUUGGGCAGGAUCCUAAAAUGCAGCCUAGGUGUGUGCCUCCAUUUAUACCCCUCGCCAAAGAGCAAGACUCAACAUUUCUCUUAGAAUUGCCCCAAAGUAAAUCUUUACCUCAAGGCCUUAGUGAGGAAUGGUUAUUGUAUUGUAGAUUCCUGUCUAGAGAUGGAGUAGUGUUUUACAUCAAACAGUCCACAGCAACUCUCUCUCCUCUCAAGCAACCCCAGGCUCCUCUCCUCACCAGUGAACCCCACCUCCACCUUUCCUGCCCUCUCCCCACACUACUUUUUUUAUAGCACAAUUAGCUCUGGGGUUCUCUUCCUUACCCGUGAUAUAUAAGGCUGUGAUCUAGCAUAGGAAAGGCCAUCACCCUGACCCUGAACAAGACUUCGUUCUCAGCAAACCAAAAACCUGCAACCUACCUAGGUAUAUUUUCCUUAGAAGGCAUGGAGGAAAUUGUAAAUUUUCUUGUGAUUAUGGUAGUAUCAUUAUAUAAUUUCAGAUCUGAAUUUUUGUUAUAUAUGAGAAAAAUGACUUGAUUUUUAAAUCAUUGUACAUUACAUAGAUGUCAAAUUACAAUAUAAAAUGAUUUUUAUAUUGUAAAAAUUAUAAAAUAUACAAC
rnacentral:lncRNA from 1 species